rnacentral:misc_RNA from 1 species
GAGAGAAUGGGGCCUAAUCGGCCCCGGCUCUUCACCCCGUGUUCACGAAAAACUGUUGCUUUGGCGGGCCGGGGACGGAAUGCCCCGGGUGGCAGCAUGCCCAGCCAGCGCCCGCCAAAGGCUCGAUCAAACCCUGUCAUCAGUGAAGUCCGAGCACACCGAUAAUCAAUAAAACUUUCAACAACGGAUCUCUUGGUUCC